CUGAUUUCCAGUGGUGGAUAGAUGUCCUUAGGGCUCGAGUCUUGUCUAGCACCAUUUGAAAUCAGUG
rnacentral:pre_miRNA from 1 species